rnacentral:rRNA from 1 species
UACAGAGGGGGCAAGCGUUGUUCGGAAUUACUGGGCGUAAAGGGCGCGUAGGCGGCCUUCUAAGUCGAACGUGAAAUCCCUGGGCUCAACCCAGGAACUGCGUCCGAUACUGGAAGGCUUGAAUCCGGGAGAGGGAUGCGGAAUUCCAGGUGUAGCGGUGAAAUGCGUAGAUAUCUGGAGGAACACCGGUGGCGAAAGCGGCUCACUGGACCGUAACUGACGCUGAUGCGCGAAAGCUAGGGGAGCAAACGGG